AGUCUAUGGGGAAAGCAAGAUGAAUUCAAGACCAGUAAACCAGAAUGAUUCAUAUAAUGAAUUAAAUGUAGAAAAUAUUCAAAAGUUAAAAGUUGCCUACAAAGAAAAGGUAAAUCCCAUUUUUGCUUUACUACUGGAACUAUUUGUAAUUUUCUUUUUCCUUUUUAAAUAUCAGAUAUAUGUCAUAAAUGUGUUAGAUCAAACUCACAUAAAUGUGCGAGUCUUAAAUUCAUUGAUAUAGAAUAGGCAUAUAAUCUAGAUUGUUGUUCUCUAGUUUUGAGGUGUAAGUUGAUCAAUGAAAAGACAGCUUACUGAUUGAUAUAUUUUCAAUAAUAGUUUAAUUGAUAAUUUCUUCCUAUGGUAAAUGACACUUAUGUGAAGUCAUCCAUUUUGUCUAGCUUUCCAGAAAUCAGUAAUGAUUAUUGUAUAGAAGUAUAGAUUGAAUAUUUUGUACUUUUUAAUUAUUUAAAGUAAUUUUAAUAAAAAUUAAAAUAAAUUGAUAUUGGGUUGUGGGCAAAAGCAUUUCGUACCUUACUACCUGUAGUUGGUCUGUAACUCAGAGUAAAAGACAGUUGGUAAUUCUUGACAGUACCUUCUGUUAAUCCCUUCCUUCUCAGAUUUUCUAUUUCAUAGCUAAUUACUAACAAGCCUUACAAAUUCCCCUUGCUUAACAGCUUAACACUUUCGAAUGAAAAGUUGCCCCAGGUGGCAUUUUCCAUUAGAUAGGUCUUUAAAGGGACCAUAAAUACAUACUGUCAGGCAGAUAAUGAGGUAGAUGUCAGCUUUAGAUGGCUUUCAACUAGCAAUAACUAUGCCUCUGAUAACCCUCACUGGCCAUGGCACCACCUCUGUGACAUAUAUUUAGGAUAAUUGAAAGGAAAUAUGAACAAAUAUUAACAAAAUAAAUAAAUCAAUAAAAUAAGCUAUUAAAAUGUUUGCCAAAAAAAAAACCCACUUUUAAAAUCAGCUCCAAUCACAGUAAUUUGGAGAAAUAUUUUUUUGAGAGUUGUAGCUAGAAUAUCACUAAGUAACACCUAGUAACUGCAAAUAGACAGGUGGGAGAUUUUCAUUAGUGGUGGAUAGUGUUAAAACAAGGUUUAAUACUCUUACUCUCUUUUACUUGUUUCAGUCAUUUGACUGCGGCCAUGCUGGAGCACCGCCUUUAGUUGAGCAAAUCGACCCCGGGACUUAUUCUUUUUAAGCCCAGUACUUAUUCUAUCGGUUUCUUUUGCCGAACCGCUAAGUGACGGGGAUGUAAACACACUAGCAUCGGUUGUCAAGCAAUGCUAGGGGGGACAAACACAUACACACACAUACAUAUAUAUAUAUACAUAUAUACGACAGGCUUCUUUCAGUUUCCGUCUACCAAAUCCACUCACAUGGCAUUGGUCGGCCCGGGGCUAUAGCAGAAGACACUUGCCCAAGAUUCCACGCAGUGGGACUGAACCCGGAACCAUGUGGUUGGUUAGCAAGCUACUUAUUACACAGCCACUCCUGCGCCUAUGUUUACAGAAUGAAAAUUUUGCUGGAAUCAUGUUGAUUGAUGACUAAAGAAUAGGAUAGUUCCAUGUACUUGGAGCCAUGAUGCAUUUCUACAACUAAAGAAAAUAUAAAGAAUUUAUUGAAUAAAGAAAUACUUUGCAUUCCUAUACAAUUAACAAACCAUUAAUUGGCCUGUAUGUGGAAAGAUUUUCUUUAUAGUAAUGUCUCUGUAUUUGAAAUAUAGCUGUAUAAUGUCUAGGAGGAUAUAAUGUGAUAUAAAUUAUUUUCAUAUUUGAUUUUAAACCCAUCAGCUUUUCUGAAAAGUCAGUAUAGAAUUUGCAAAAAAUCUGGCAGUUAGACAACCAUUUAGCGUUUAAACUGGCCAUAUCUGGCCCAAACACUGUUUUAUGCUGAAACUGGCCAGAUCUGGCCUAUUACACCUACUCUACAAUGUCCUGAAAAUAAGCAAUCACAUCUUCAAAAUCUUGAAGCUAGGAGAUGAUGCACGAUUAGUUCAAAACCAUGAACAGAUAAACUUAUUUGACAGAGUAAUCUGAAUGCUAAAGGUUUAAAGAACAAUUCUAUAACUGUUUGUCUGUUAUGAGAAGUUUUUUUUUUUGUUAUAGUAAUGAUGAUACAAAAGUCAGAUAAGCUAUUGGAGAGAAAUAAAGUGGAAUUUGAGUGUCAGGAAAGAGCAGUUUUUUUUAAGUGGAUUUUCUGAAAAACAUUCUAGUGUUCUACAAGAGAAGGUGUCUUUUAAUGAAAUUUAAUCAAAAAAUUUCUUUUAUAUCCACCAUUUUCAAAAUAAGUUGUUUUACAUAUGUUAAUCAAUUCUCUCUCCUAAACAAGUUUUGCUUCAUUUAGUAUUUUAUUAAAGUUAAGUGACAGGAGUUGGUUGUAAAAUAUUGUAAUGGUUUUCACAAGUUUUGGAAAAAUUUUAUAAGUGUUCUAUAAGAAUAAGUUUGCGAAAUAUGAGUUAGGAAGUUAAUGAAGAAUCUCUGGAAGAGUGAAAAUGAAGUAGGCUGAGGAGAAAUAAAUGUACUACAUUGCAGUUAUGGAAGAGUUGUGAAUUUUUAAAAAUCAGUAAGAUUUUAUAUCUUUAGGGCAGUGGUUCCCAACCAUUUUUUGCCUUUGGAUCCCUUUGAUUCUUAUUUUACUCUACAGGACCUCCAUAGGAAUUGUAUAAAAAAUUAAAACAUUUUCUAUAUUGUAGAAGUAUAAGCAAUUUAUUAUGCAUAAAUUUUAACAACAAAAUCUUAUAUGGACUGCCAAAGGCCAGAUUGUUUCAGAGGAAAGAAUUUUACUAGAUGUAUUCAAUGAAAAAUUUCAUACACUACUAUAGCUAAAUAAAUAAACUGAACCAGAACAGAUUACUUGUAGGUAUUGUAUGCAAACAUCUAGUAUUGAUAUGGUUUAGGCUGCAGUAGGAGUCUUCCUUGGGAAUAAAACAGAUCACAAGGUAAAAUUGCAUGUACUCAAAUUACCUUUUGACUAAUUGUUCAAUAACAAACCUGUUAACCUUUAGUCACUGAUAUUAAACAACUAGUUUAUUUCAGUUAAGCUCACUUGAUUGAUCAGAAUAAAAAUUGACAGGGGAGCUAAUUAUUUUUGAAUAUAUCUCAUGUUUUAGUAUCAAAAUAGUUUCUUAUUUGCUUUUCCCUGAUCUAUAUUUACCCCUUUUAUCUGAUAUUUAGAACACAAAGGAAUUACAUAACUUCAAACUAUUGGUAAUACCUUUAAUACUUGUAAACAUCAGAUAAAAACCAAUGUUUUAUUGAUGAUGCAUAAAAUAGUUUCAAAAUAAUUGCACUUUUAACUUUUUUUUUCUGUUUGCAUUUUAGAUUGACAAGCUAAAUAGCUUUGAUAACGAAGCUUAUGCAGAGUUGGCUCAGCAUUUAUCUGAUCUAGAUUGGUACGCUUACAAAAAUGAAAAUUCUUCCAUCAUAGACAACCUUUUCACUGGUCAGUUACUAGAAGCAUAUAAUUGUAGCCGGAAAGGACAUCUAUCAAUUCAGCCACAGACAUUUGCUGUUUUACCAAUCCCACUUGGAGAAUCAUUAUCAGAAUCUAAUAUAUAUCUUGAAG
rnacentral:lncRNA from 1 species